UACGUAGGGUGCGAGCGUUAAUCGGAAUUACUGGGCGUAAAGCGUGCGCAGGCGGUUUUGUAAGACAGGUGUGAAAUCCCCGGGCUUAACCUGGGAACUGCAUUUGUGACUGCAUUGCUGGAGUGCGGCAGAGGGGGAUGGAAUUCCGCGUGUAGCAGUGAAAUGCGUAGAUAUGCGGAGGAACACCGAUGGCGAAGGCAAUCCCCUGGGCCUGCACUGACGCUCAUGCACGAAAGCGUGGGGAGCAAACAGG
rnacentral:rRNA from 1 species